UUGCGACCCCAGGUCAGGCGGGGU
rnacentral:rRNA from 1 species